AGGAGAUGAAAUUGUCCUUCAGUGGAGUGAAACCGGUGACCGCGUAACUGUUACUGAGUAAUUAUAUUGUUACGUUCUUCAUUUGCAGGACAAACUGCAGAAGUCCAAGGCUCUGAUAAUGCCAGUAAAUUCAGGAAACUACCACUGGAUACUUUAGGGCAUUUAUACGUGGAAAAUUGCUUGGAAAAGGGGCGUGGCGCAUGGAGGAUGUGAGGAGGCAGACAGAAGGAUACAUCAUUAUGUGGGAUAUUUAUUUGCAAGGGGGCCAUGGAGCUGGAGUGGAGGCCGAGAGAGGGAGAGACGAUUAGCGGAGGGGAGGAGAGUGAGAGCGGCCGGCAAGCUCGGCCGAGGAGGGCGACCAGGUGGGAUCAUUGGCCCAAGGAGAUUAGCAGCGGGCGGCAAGCAGAGCGAGAGGCGGCGCGGGAGGCCAGGUUCCACCAGGCGAGGGCGGCGUGGUCGCCGCACAGGUGCUGGGAAGAGAGGCACCCGGAGCGAGAGGUGACCCUCUUAGACCUACCGUUCGCCUGGAACUGGAGGCCAGCCCAAGGCCAGGGCCAAGCCACCAGCGCAGCGAGCGGUAGGGUGGCAGCGAUCCCUGCCGGAUCGGUCGGCAUACCGCCGCCGGGGUCCCUGGCGAGGAGGAAAGAGAGGAUCGAGUGAUAGGAGAAUAGCGGAGAGGCGAGGACAGUUGAGGAAGGCAAUGAACGCGAUGGAGGAAGAGGAGGCCUAUAGGGAGCAGCUGGAGAAGGAGAGGGAGGCGGAAUCGGUGCGAGGGGGGAUUUAGAUUAGAAGAGACAAUUAAGGAGAUCACCUUAUAUACCUCUAUGUUUAUUUUUAUACUUGUACGCAUUAUACGCAUACUAAACAGUAUUACUUACCUGUGAUUUUAUAUAGGAUACCUAUGUAUAUAUGGAUGUAUAUAUUGCUACCCGUGUAGGGAUUAUAACUCAGGAAUUAAUCUAGAUAACCUCUCUAUAAAUAUAUUAUUUAUUAUGUACAGGCACAUCUACCUCAUUAUAUUGUUGUCUAAAAUGAGUAUGGAAAUAUAGGAGAUAUUUAUAUAAAACAGGAAAGACUUCGUUUCAGUCUCAUUUUGUUGUUGUUGUUGUUGUCAAGUGCCAGUUCACGGACACGUUGGAGGAGAAGAGCUGGGAG